rnacentral:rRNA from 1 species
GGACGCUCACCACUUUGUGGUUCAUGACUGGGGUGAAGUCGUAACAAGGUAGCCCUAGGGGAACCUGGGGCUGGAUCACCUCCUUAUACGAAGAUA